UGGGGAAUAUUGCACAAUGGGCGCAAGCCUGAUGCAGCCAUGCCGCGUGUGUGAAGAAGGCCUUCGGGUUGUAAAGCACUUUCAGCGGGGAGGAAGGCGUUAAGGUUAAUAACCUUGGCGAUUGACGUUACCCGCAGAAGAAGCACCGGCUAACUCCGUGCCAGCAGCCGCGGUAAUACGGAGGGUGCAAGCGUUAAUCGGAAUUACUGGGCGUAAAGCGCACGCAGGCGGUCUGUCAAGUCGGAUGUGAAAUCCCCGGGCUCAACCUGGGAACUGCAUUCGAAACUGGCAGGCUAGAGUCUUGUAGAGGGGGGUAGAAUUCCAGGUGUAGCGGUGAAAUGCGUAGAGAUCUGGAGGAAUACCGGUGGCGAAGGCGGCCCCCUGGACAAAGACUGACGCUCAGGUGCGAAAGCGUGGAGAGCAAACAGG
rnacentral:rRNA from 1 species